GUUAUUUUCAAAUCGAAAUAUGUGAUUAGUUUGCUGGGAUAAUUUUUAUACAGCUGGUCGCUUUUCGUAGAAAUUUGUGUAUGAAGUUAUGAGUCUUGCUGGCCUAUAUCUUUCCCAUUGAUUAGAACUUCAAACAAACAGUUGUACACAAGCUGGAGCUAAUUUCGAGUUGCAACGGAUUCCUGACAAUUGCUGCUUUACAUCAAUCCUCAUUGAUGAUUACCUAUGCAACUGAAAUUAAGAAAACGCCUUUCAUGCAAUGAACUCGUCCCGAGGAAUUUAUUUCAACUUACUAAGGACUGUUGAUGAACUUCGUUAGGAGAGUUUGCAACGAAGGAUCUAGAUGCUGAUCACUGUCUCCUAAUUUUGUCAUUGUGCGCAUCGCCCAAUCUUCAACGCUUCAAAAUCGAAGACAGUCAACAAGCUGGAUGGUAAAAACAUCAGUUAUAUUUAUGAUUGGACGAUUCUGGAAAUCGUAAUACAUAAAAUAGUCAAGUUACUAUGACUUAAUUGCAACAAAUGGAACUUAAUCGUAUGAAUUCAUAUGGAUCUUCAGUAAUCAUUUUCAUGUAUAUAAAUGUUCUUGUAGCUGCAAACUGACAUAAAAUUAACUUUAAUUGAAUCUAUAGCAAUUUGUAAUCGAACGUUAGUUGGGAAAAGGAACUUCAAUUGUAUGAAAUGCGAUUUCGAGCUCUUAGCAGUUCAUAAAAAUUUUAAAUAUUAAUCCAAUUUUCUAUGGUUCUUCAUUUUCUGAUUUUUUGAAUGAAAUGGAUGAAGAUAUUGGAAAAGAUUUAUUUCCUUUGUAGAAAAGAGGCUAGGGUUAACAUUGUAAUGAAGUCGUGAUUUAAAUUAGAACAAAAUUAAUAAAGUUGUAUCCUCAAUGUGAAUGUUGUACAUCGUAUGAAACGUAAAAUCGUAAUGUUUUUGCUUGUUUAGUUAACAUACGUUUGCGGUCAUAACGUCGAAUUUCGUUUAAAUUUAAUGAAUUGGCACUUAUUCACUUCAUCCUCGUUCAAUGUACAGUAUUGAAGUAUACGAGGUCCUAACCGUGGAUAGGAGCUUCAGUUAAUUCGUGUCGCGUUCCGAUGUCGAGCAAUUUAUCAAAUCAAGCCCCUUCCCAUAGUUUCAUAUUUCAUCAAUCUGUCGUGAGUUCAGUAAUAGCUGAAUCUUUUCACAUUUUUGUCGUUUCCUUAAUUAACAGGAUCAAAUUUCUUAACUUCCAAGGCUUCAAUUUGAUUGGCAGGAAAACUUCACGAACAUUUUAAACGGUAUUUAAUACCUAAAUUAAACAAAUUUUUCCCCUCUUAGAGUGUAAUCUUAUUUCUUAAAACACUAAAUAAUAAAACUUAAAACGAUAAAGGUUUUGCUAAUUCUGGUCUGUUAAGAAGCAAUUAAUGCUCUCCUCAAACCAUAAAUUUGGAACACUUAUAAAAAGUUCGUCUACUAAAUUUUUAAUAUAAAACGAUAACCUUCACAACGCAAGGCACUAUUUUUAAACUCGUGGCAUUUUAGUACCUUUUUAUGGCAUGAGGAUCUAAACACGAUCGCAAGUUGAACAGGAUUAAAUGAAACGAAUAAGUCUUUAAUAGAUUCAAAGAAAUUGCAUCUACUUGAAGUAUGCGAGAUAGGGUUCGGGAAGUUUUAACUAUCGGCAGUUAGAUGCCAAUGUUGCGAGAAGAAAUUGCACAUAAUAGGUUUAAGGAAAAUUGGGGCACUCAAACAGGGCUUGGUGUAUAGAUGGGAUAGGGGAGCACGUUAAGGAUAUGCUGGUCCCUGUAUACUUUCCGUCUAGGCUGUUUGGGACCGGCGGUCUAAGCGGAGAGUAUCGGUCCGCGGGGAACCAGUGCUUAACGUGAUAACGGAUUGGGUUAGCAUCGGUCAUGAGAAACGGGGAAUGUAGCGAGUGAACUACUCAUAAAAGGAGGCAAAUGGGUCUGAUAUUUUUGAUUAUUAAUCGGGUUUUCAAGGGGUCUGGGGAAGGUUUUAAACCUAUGAAAGUGUGAUUUGUUCAUGAAACAUUGGCACUGAAUAUUAAAAUAUGGUAGGUAGGCAAUUUUAUUUCUUAAAUCUUAAGUUGCGACAUUAGCAAACUUGCAGGUAGAAAUCUUGGAUCUUGCGGGUAGGAAUCUUGCUUCGAGUUUAUUAUAACUGUCUUUCGAAAACUGGCUUCCUAAUGAUGGUUUGAAGAGUCUUGAGGAUGAGAUUAAAAUUCUAACUUAUCUGUUCUUUUUAGUUUCUGUAUAAAUAGUUCCCUUAACUUGUACAUUUUAAUCUUGGUAGGCCUCCAAUUUAAUCCGGAAGCAGACAUUGUUUCAUAUAGUUUCAUAUUUACACUUUUGCAUUAACUGGCAACGUAGAUAAUAAAGAAUUUUUCAUCUGAACUGAAACUUUAUCUGCUUGAGCUGAAAAUAACUGUCAUUAACACAAUUUCUCACCUCUUCUAUAACACUUAAAAAAAUUAAGACUAAAUUUUGAUUUUCUUUGAAAUUUUAAUUGCGAGAUAGUGAAGUUCGGAAGUGAAACAACCGAGGCUUAAACUUAGAAUGACUUUGCGCAUGUCAAACUCGCCAAUUUCAUUCACCUAUCAACUUAUUUUAAGUAGCCAUGUUUGUAAGUUUGAGUUUACAUUAACAUUCGUUUCAUUCAAAUGCUAACUUUAGUUUAUGCCUAUCUAAUUUGUUGCGGUAUGUUCUAUAAUAUUUAGUUCAAAAAUGAAAUAAAAAUAAUUUUGUGCUAUGAAGACUUAAUUAAAUGAUUCUCGUUUAAAAACUUUCAUGUACUCGGAAAAACUUGCAUUACGUUUCUUGGUUUUUGGACAUUGUGUAUUAAUAUCCAUAAAUCAAGCGUUUCAGGGUUACGACUACGCGAAUGUUUUCAGUAGAUUUGAAUUUUGAAGUUCCUUUCCCAUUUUAAAGAUUAAUUGUAGUAAAGCAAGCUUAAAUUUUUCUGAAUUUUGAAUAUUCUCUACUUUAUAACAUUUUAAAUCUUUUAUGAACUGUGUCGCAAGUUUAAAUGUCUCAUCUGUGUUAAGAUUUUAUUGCAUUGUCAG